ACAAUGCUAAUGAGCCGCCGAGUCAGAAUCUCGGUGACUUUGGGAGUGUGUUAAGACUCUGCUGCGAAAAUGUUAUUCUUUGAUGUUGUAUUCGGGAAUUUCUGGGUUGUAAAGGACACCAAAGCUUCGAGGUAUGCUCAUAUGUACGUCAGCCUCGACGGGAAGGCAUUGAGCGUGGAAAUUUUGAAAAGUUAUCGAGCUGAAAUUGUAAUGAGGAAUGGAGGCGUCCCCAGGAAGAGAUCCCGAGGGUGAUGUUCGCACUCACCAACUGACUGUGCGCCCGGAGGGUUGUGACUGUCAGCGAGCGGGACAUCCCGUACAGUCCCGUAAUGGUUGACUUGCGCUGGCGUUGUUGGAGCUUGGGUGUGAGUUUGCACGGCUCUCCCAGUCCCCCCAAUAACUCGACCACCAGGAACACAAUUAUCAGCCCUAAACGAUAGCACAAGCAAAUAGCUAUGACACGUUAUUAUGCAUUUAGGAUUUUCAGCUGCAAAUUCACAACUACAGAUCGGCCCUGAAUGAAAACACAAACAAAGAGCAAAAAUAAUAUGUUUGCCAGCGAACUAUGAUGUUCAGAGCAGCAAGUAACAAUUAUCAGCCCUGAUGAAAACACAGACAAAGAGCAAAAAUAAUAUGUUUGCCAGCGAACUAUGAUGUUCAGAGCAGCAAGUAACAAUUAUCAGCCCUGAUGAAAACACAGACAGAGCAAAAAUAAUAUGUUUGCCAGCGAACUAUGAUGUUCAGCAGCAAGUAACAAUUAUCAGCCCUGAUGAAAACACAGACAAAGAGCAAAAAUAAUAUGUUUGCCAGCGAACUAUGAUGUUCAGCAGCAAGUAACAAUUAUCAGCCCUGAUGAAAACUCAGGCAAAGGGCAGCAGUGCGUAAGCAAGAAUUGAGGACCUUAAUCAACAAGGAACACGACUUAUAGCCCUGGGUGAAUAAAUACGACAGAAGGCAGAGGGUCUUUACGCACACGAUAAUAGUAUAACAGUAGUUCAGACGUGCCCACAGAGUCGUUUUCGGAUCUGAUGGAAGUUAACGUCCAUUUGUAGCAAAUCGCCAUGAAGCUGGCCCAGCAGCGCUAUGACGCGCGAGAAGGCCUGGUGACGAUCCAGGUUUGCCAUGCGUGGAUGGGCGCUGAUUGGUGGGAUCUUGUAAAGGGUCGCGUUACGCUGAGCAAAUAAAACAGCCUGUCGUUAGUUAGCUAUAACACAAGGUAAAAAAGUAUGUUGAACGCCUCCGUGAAGCAGAUUAGUUGCGCUGACGUUUCGAGCGUUAGCCCUUCGCCGGAGCAAACGAAACGGAAUCGGAUGGGGGAUGGACUAUCUAGUGGGACCAUCUAGUUAUGCUUCAGCUUGUGUGUAGUCUUUCUAGUUAUACCAUAUCGUUAGUAAGUCACGAUUAACCAAGUUUUAAAGUACGAGGUCGCAGAUACCACAUGGUCGAGUCGAAGGCAUAGAAAGGUAUAAGUCCUUAUUAGGAGAUGCCACUCACUGGUUUCAAAUUCCUCGUUGCCAUGGUGAUGAUUGCCAUCAGGUCGGUCACCUCCUGUCUGAGCGUGACAAGUCUCUUCACCACGUGGGUGGAGUUCGGUAGCUGGCGAAAGUUCUGAAUGGACUGGCGAAGCAAUGGGCGGAACUGCUUUAACACCGCAGCAUUGUUCUGUAAAACCCCAAACACUGGGACCUAAAGGGAAACGGGAAUUAAUGUGGGUAACAUGCCAAAAUAUCACACAGUGUGACUGAUUAGGCUCGGUCGAGUUCUCUACCCACACCCUGGGAUCUAUAGCUCGAUUAACAAUAUAUUUUAAUAUAUCACACAGACUGCUUAGGCGGUCGGUUCUUGUAUAGUGGAUAGAGAAAUUGGAAUUGCAUGGCGAAAAGUGAAUUGCAUAGUGAAAUUGGAAGAAGAAAACCCAAGACAAAAGCUAGAUGCACCCAUUAGCAACAACGCCGUAGAUGGUACGCAAUCACUAAAUUGACGCCACGCAAAUACGUCGCAAAUGUUACAAGUUAGUAACACGGAUGUUUUGCCAUAUAGGAACAAGUGUUCCUGACCUAGCAUUCCGCUAGGUCAAAUACAGUCCCCUGUCUGUCUUACCUUAUCUCCGUUCAAGCCUAUUGGUAACGGCAUCAGCGGAAGAGUGGCAGAGUCCUGACUGGAAGGUGUCCAUGCCUGGGUCUAAUAGAAGAGAAAUGACAUGCCUAAGACAACGAGCAAUGGUAGACACAGAGAGAGAGAAAUGACAUGCCUAAGACUACGACCUAUGGAAGAUAUAGAAAAAGAGAAUGUGCCUUAGAAUGGGGGUUAUGGUAGAUACAGAGAGAGAAAGAACAUGCCUUAGCCUGUGGGCUAUAGUAAAUAACGAGAUAGAGGGAGAACAUUGCUAAAACUGCUGGCUAUUGUAAAUACAGAGAAAGAGGGAGAACAUCGCUUAGACUGUGGGCUAUUGUAAAUACAGAGAGAAAGAGAAAACAUGCCUAAGAUUUAGGCAAGUUUAUUUGAGAUUUUCUUUCCGUUUUGGCAAAAUAUUUCGUGGGGGCUCCCGUCCCCAUUGCAGGUGUAUGCUAAUCAGGGAGGAUUCCCGGAUUUGAGUUUCGUGGAACUAAAGCUUUCAAAAACCGUGUAGAUUUGCCGAUAUAAAAAACAACAGAGAGAACAUGCCUAAGACUACGGCCUAUGAUAGAUACAUCGGAACCCAUGCUAACACAAGCUGAAGUAACACAUGCUAACGUAUCGUUGGAUUAGUGCCGUGCCCCCCCCCCUCACUUACAAGAUUCUGAUAAGUGACGUAGGUGUCGUCUCGCACAUGCGUGGUGUACGGUUCCAGGACGAGCAGUAUGUGAUACAUAAAUGAAGUAACAGAGCAGUGCGCCGGGGGACUGGGCAAUGCGGCUCCUAUAGCAACCAUUACGGUGCUGCAUAUAGCGAUGAUGUAAUCUGAAGCAAAUCCAAUAUUCAUCUUUAGUACACGCUGGUUUUUUGUAUGUUAAGUCCGUUGAAAAAUUAAGAGAACUAUAAAAAUGAAACGAUCAUGUCGUCUUACUCUCUCCUUUGCC